rnacentral:rRNA from 1 species
AGACGUCUACAUUAGAUACCCCCUGUAGUCCCAGCCGUAAACUAUGCGCGUUAGGUGUAUCGGUGACCACGAGUUACCGAGGUGCCGAAGGGAAACCGUGAAACGUGCCGCCUGGGAAGUACGGUCGCAAGGCUGAAACUUAAAGGAAUUGGCGGGGAGCACCACAACGGGUGGAGCCUGCGGUUUAAUUGGACUCAACGCCGGGAAGCUCACCGGAUAAGACAGCGGAAUGAUUGCCGGGCUGAAGACUCUGCAUGACUAGCUG